rnacentral:rRNA from 1 species
UACGUAGGGGGCUAGCGUUGUCCGGAAUCAUUGGGCGUAAAGAGCGCGUAGGCGGCCAGAUAAGUCCGGUGUGAAAGUCAAAGGCUCAACCUUUGAAUGCCGCUGGAAACUGUCUGGCUAGAGUCCGGGAGGGGCGAGUGGAAUUCCUGGUGUAGCGGUGAAAUGCGCAGAUAUCAGGAGGAACACCGAUGGCGAAGGCAGGUCUCUGGGCCAUAACUGACGCUGAGAAGCGAAAGCAUGGGGAGCGAACAGG